UAAAACAAUUACGCUGUUAUCCCCUAAGUAACUUGUUUUAUUAAUCUUUUUUAAGGAUCAUUUAUAUAUUUAAUCGUUAUUUCAAUUUUCUUUGAAAUGAAGAAUCAAUUUUUCAUAAACCGCCCCAGUUAAAUUUUCCUCGUCUUAUAUAAGACGAGGAAAAUAAAGAUUUAAGGGGUCUUCUCGUCCUUUUAUAUAUUUCUUCUUUUUCAAAGAAAAAUUAAUUUCAAUGUCUGAAAUUGAGACAAUAUUAAGCUCAUUAACCCUGUCAUUCCAUUUUACAAUUAAUAAACUAAUUAUUAUGCUACCUUUGCAA
rnacentral:rRNA from 1 species